GGGGAGAUACCAAAGCGGUCAACUGGGGCAGACUGUAAAUCUGCUGGCUGAUGCCUUCGUAGGUUCGAAUCCUGCUCUCCCCACGA
rnacentral:tRNA from 1 species